CCGUGCACCCAAAAUGUUUCCAUAACUCCUUUUCCUUUUAUUAUUACUUCUCCGCGGGA
rnacentral:sRNA from 1 species